rnacentral:pre_miRNA from 13 species
CCAGCUCUCACCGGGUGGUAUUAAUAAUCUCGCUGGGGGAGGCCUCCAAAGUGUUGUACCUGAGUGAGUUAGAAAAACGCCACACUUUGAGACGAAUUAAGAGUCCUUUAUUAG